GGGUUGUGAGGUUAAGCGACUAAGCGUACACGGUGGAUGCCCUGGCAGUCAGAGGCGAUGAAGGACGUGCUAAUCUGCGAAAAGCGCCGGCGAGGUGAUAUGAACCCUUGACCCGGCGAUGUCCGAAUGGGGAAACCCAGUGUGAUUCGUCACACUAUCGUUAACUGAAUACAUAGGUUAACGAGGCGAACCGGGGGAACUGAAACAUCUAAGUACCCCGAGGAAAAGAAAUCAACCGAGAUUCCCCCAGUAGCGGCGAGCGAACGGGGAGCAGCCCGGAGUCUGAAUCAGCUUGUGUGUUAGUGGAACGGUCUGGAAAGUCCGACGGUACAGGGUGAUAGUCCCGUACACGAAAGCACACUUGCUGUGAACUCGAAGAGUAGGGCGGGACACGUGGUAUCCUGUCUGAAUAUGGGGGGACCAUCCUCCAAGGCUAAAUACUCCUGACUGACCGAUAGUGAACCAGUACCGUGAGGGAAAGGCGAAAAGAACCCCGGCGAGGGGAGUGAAAAAGAACCUGAAACCGUGUACGUACAAGCAGUGGGAGCACCUUCGUGGUGUGACUGCGUACCUUUUGUAUAAUGGGUCAGCGACUUAUAUUCUGUAGCAAGGUUAACCGUAUAGGGGAGCCGAAGGGAAACCGAGUCUUAACUGGGCGUUAAGUUGCAGGGUAUAGACCCGAAACCCGGUGAUCUAGCCAUGGGCAGGUUGAAGGUUGGGUAACACUAACUGGAGGACCGAACCGACUAAUGUUGAAAAAUUAGCGGAUGACCUGUGGCUGGGGGUGAAAGGCCAAUCAAACCGGGAGAUAGCUGGUUCUCCCCGAAAGCUAUUUAGGUAGCGCCUCGUGAACUCAUCUUCGGGGGUAGAGCACUGUUUCGGCUAGGGGGCCAUCCCGGCUUACCAACCCGAUGCAAACUACGAAUACCGAAGAAUGUUAUCACGGGAGACACACGGCGGGUGCUAACGUCCGUCGUGAAGAGGGAAACAACCCAGACCGCCAGCUAAGGUCCCAAAGUCAUGGUUAAGUGGGAAACGAUGUGGGAAGGCACAGACAGCCAGGAUGUUGGCUUAGAAGCAGCCAUCAUUUAAAGAAAGCGUAAUAGCUCACUGGUCGAGUCGGCCUGCGCGGAAGAUGUAACGGGGCUAAACCAUGCACCGAAGCUGCGGCAGCGACACUAUGUGUUGUUGGGUAGGGGAGCGUUCUGUAAGCCGUUGAAGGUGUGCUGUGAGGCAUGCUGGAGGUAUCAGAAGUGCGAAUGCUGACAUAAGUAACGAUAAAGCGGGUGAAAAGCCCGCUCGCCGGAAGACCAAGGGUUCCUGUCCAACGUUAAUCGGGGCAGGGUGAGUCGACCCCUAAGGCGAGGCCGAAAGGCGUAGUCGAUGGGAAACAGGUUAAUAUUCCUGUACUUGGUGUUACUGCGAAGGGGGGACGGAGAAGGCUAUGUCAGCCGGGCGACGGUUGUCCCGGUUUAAGCAUGUAGGCGGAGGUUCCAGGUAAAUCCGGUACCUUAUUAACGCUGAGGUGUGAUGACGAGGCACUACGGUGCUGAAGUGAUAAAUGCCCUGCUUCCAGGAAAAGCCUCUAAGCAUCAGGUAACACGAAAUCGUACCCCAAACCGACACAGGUGGUCAGGUAGAGAAUACCAAGGCGCUUGAGAGAACUCGGGUGAAGGAACUAGGCAAAAUGGUGCCGUAACUUCGGGAGAAGGCACGCUGAUGUGUAGGUGAAGUCCCUGCGGACGGAGCUGAAAUCAGUCGAAGAUACCAGCUGGCUGCAACUGUUUAUUAAAAACACAGCACUGUGCAAACACGAAAGUGGACGUAUACGGUGUGACGCCUGCCCGGUGCCGGAAGGUUAAUUGAUGGGGUUAGCUGUAAGGCGAAGCUCUUGAUCGAAGCCCCGGUAAACGGCGGCCGUAACUAUAACGGUCCUAAGGUAGCGAAAUUCCUUGUCGGGUAAGUUCCGACCUGCACGAAUGGCGUAAUGAUGGCCAGGCUGUCUCCACCCGAGACUCAGUGAAAUUGAACUCGCUGUGAAGAUGCAGUGUACCCGCGGCAAGACGGAAAGACCCCGUGAACCUUUACUAUAGCUUGACACUGAACACUGGUCCUUGAUGUGUAGGAUAGGUGGGAGGCUUUGAAGCGUGGACGCCAGUCUGCGUGGAGCCGCCCUUGAAAUACCACCCUUUAAUGGCUGGUGUUCUAACGUAGACCCGUAAUCCGGGUUGCGGACAGUGUCUGGUGGGUAGUUUGACUGGGGCGGUCUCCUCCCAAAGAGUAACGGAGGAGCACGAAGGUUGGCUAAUCCUGGUCGGACAUCAGGAGGUUAGUGCAAUGGCAUAAGCCAGCUUGACUGCGAGCGUGACGGCGCGAGCAGGUGCGAAAGCAGGUCAUAGUGAUCCGGUGGUUCUGAAUGGAAGGGCCAUCGCUCAACGGAUAAAAGGUACUCCGGGGAUAACAGGCUGAUACCGCCCAAGAGUUCAUAUCGACGGCGGUGUUUGGCACCUCGAUGUCGGCUCAUCACAUCCUGGGGCUGAAGUAGGUCCCAAGGGUAUGGCUGUUCGCCAUUUAAAGUGGUACGCGAGCUGGGUUUAGAACGUCGUGAGACAGUUCGGUCCCUAUCUGCCGUGGGCGCUGGAGAAUUGAGGGGGGCUGCUCCUAGUACGAGAGGACCGGAGUGGACGCAUCACUGGUGUUCGGGUUGUCAUGCCAAUGGCACUGCCCGGUAGCUAAAUGCGGAAGAGAUAAGUGCUGAAAGCAUCUAAGCACGAAACUUGCCCCGAGAUGAGUUCUCCCUGAGACUUUAAGUCUCCUGAAGGAACGUUAAAGACUAUGACGUUGAUAGGUCGGGUGUGUAAGCGCAGCGAUGCGUUGAGCUAACCGAUACUAAUGAACCGUGAGGCUUAACCUUACAACGCCGAAGGUGUUU
rnacentral:rRNA from 1 species